rnacentral:rRNA from 1 species
AACGAACGCUGGCGGCAGGCCUAACACAUGCAAGUCGAGCGAACCCUUCGGGGUUAGCGGCGGACGGGUUAGUAACGCGUGGGAAUAUACCCUUUGGUACGGAAUAGCCUCGGGAAACUGAGAGUAAUACCGUAUGUGCCCUUCGGGGGAAAGAUUUAUCGCCAAAGGAUUAGCCCGCGUUGGAUUAGGUAGUUGGUGGGGUAAUGGCCUACCAAGCCUACGAUCCAUAGCUGGUUUGAGAGGAUGAUCAGCAACACUGGGACUGAGACACGGCCCAGACUCCUACGGGAGGCAGCAGUGGGGAAUCUUAGACAAUGGGCGCAAGCCUGAUCUAGCCAUGCCGCGUGGACGAUGAAGGCCUUAGGGUUGUAAAG